rnacentral:rRNA from 1 species
AGGCGUCGACCGGCGCACGGGUGAGUAACGCGUAUCCAACCUGCCCAUCACUUGGGGAUAACCUUGACGAAAGUAAGACUAAUACCAAUGACGUCUCUAGAAGACAUCUGAAAGAGAUUAAAGAUUUAUCGGUGAUGGAUGGGGAUGCGUCUGAUUAGCUUGUUGGCGGGGUAACGGCCCACCUAGUCUUCGAUGGAUAGGGGGUUCUGAGAGGAAGGUCCCCCACAUUGGAACUGAGACACGGUCCAAACUCCUACGGGAGGCAGCAGUGAGGAAUAUUGGUCAAUGGGCGAGAGCCUGAACCAGCCAAGUAGCGUGAAGGAUGACUGCCCUAUGGGUUGUAAACUUCUUUUAUAAAGGAAUAAAGUCGGGUAUGGAUACCCGUUUGCAUGUACUUUAUGAAUAAGGAUCGGCUAACUCCGUG